AAAUAAUGAAAUCACCCAAAAUAGCUGGAAUUACUGGCAGAUUGUGUAGCAAUAAAUCUAGUUUUCUGAAG
ensembl:snoRNA SNORD65C small nucleolar RNA, C/D box 65C